GUGGGGAAUCUUCCGCAAUGGACGAAAGUCUGACGGAGCAACGCCGCGUGAGUGAUGAAGGUCUUCGGAUUGUAAAGCUCUGUUAAUCGGGACGAAAGAGCCUAGUGUGAAUAAUGCUAGGAAGUGACGGUACCGGAAUAGAAAGCCACGGCUAACUACGUGCCAGCAGCCGCGGUAAUACGUAGGUGGCAAGCGUUGUCCGGAAUUAUUGGGCGUAAAGCGCGCGCAGGCGGAGCUGCCAGUCUGUAGUAAAAGUUCGGGGCUUAACCCCGUGAUAGGAUGGUAACUACAGAUCUAGAGUAUCGGAGAGGAAAGUGGAAUUCCUAGUGUAGCGGUGAAAUGCGUAGAUAUUAGGAAGAACACCAGUGGCGAAGGCGACUUUCUGGACGAAAACUGACGCUGAGGCGCGAAAGCCAGGGGAGCGAACGGGAUUAGAAACCCUAGUAGUCC
rnacentral:rRNA from 1 species